AAACCGGGGCUAAUACCGGAUGGUUGUCUGAACCGCAUGGUUCAGACAUAAAAGGUGGCUUCGGCUACCACUUACAGAUGGACCCGCGGCGCAUUAGCUAGUUGGUGAGGUAACGGCUCACCAAGGCGACGAUGCGUAGCCGACCUGAGAGGGUGAUCGGCCACACUGGGACUGAGACACGGCCCAGACUCCUACGGGAGGCAGCAGUAGGGAAUCUUCCGCAAUGGACGAAAGUCUGACGGAGCAACGCCGCGUGAGUGAUGAAGGUUUUCGGAUCGUAAAGCUCUGUUGUUAGGGAAGAACAAGUGCCGUUCAAAUAGGGCGGCACCUUGACGGUACCUAACCAGAAAGCCACGGCUAACUACGUGCCAGCAGCCGCGGUAAUACGUAGGUGGCAAGCGUUGUCCGGAAUUAUUGGGCGUAAAGGGCUCGCAGGCGGUUUCUUAAGUCUGAUGUGAAAGCCCCCGGCUCAACCGGGGAGGGUCAUUGGAAACUGGGGAACUUGAGUGCAGAAGAGGAGAGUGGAAUUCCACGUGUAGCGGUGAAAUGCGUAGAGAUGUGGAGGAACACCAGUGGCGAAGGCGACUCUCUGGUCUGUAACUGACGCUGAGGAGCGAAAGCGUGGGGAGCGAACAGGAUUAGAUACCCUGGUAGUCCACGCCGUAAACGAUGAGUGCUAAGUGUUAGGGGGUUUCCGCCCCUUAGUGCUGCAGCUAACGCAUUAAGCACUCCGCCUGGGGAGUACGGUCGCAAGACUGAAACUCAAAGGAAUUGACGGGGGCCCGCACAAGCGGUGGAGCAUGUGGUUUAAUUCGAAGCAACGCGAAGAACCUUACCAGGUCUUGACAUCCUCUGACAAUCCUAGAGAUAGGACGUCCCCUUCGGGGGCAGAGUGACAGGUGGUGCAUGGUUGUCGUCAGCUCGUGUCGUGAGAUGUUGGGUUAAGUCCCGCAACGAGCGCAACCCUUGAUCUUAGUUGCCAGCAUUCAGUUGGGCACUCUAAGGUGACUGCCGGUGACAAACCGGAGGAAGGUGGGGAUGACGUCAAAUCAUCAUGCCCCUUAUGACCUGGGCUACACACGUGCUACAAUGGACAGAACAAAGGGCAGCGAAACCGCGAGGUUAAGCC
rnacentral:rRNA from 1 species